AUCCAGUUGACGAGUCCUAAAUAGGAGGAAACGCGCGUGAAACCUGAU
rnacentral:hammerhead_ribozyme from 1 species